CAAUAGCGUAUAUUAAAGUUGUUGCAGUUAAAAAGCUCGUAGUUGAAACUUGGGCCUGGCUGGCGGGUCCGCCUCACCGCGUGCACUCGUCCGGCCGGGCCUUCCUUCUGAAGAACCUCAUGCCCUUCACUGGGCGUGCUGGGGAAUCAGGACUUUUACUUUGAAAAAAUUAGAGUGUUCAAAGCAGGCCUUUGCUCGAAUACGUUAGCAUGGAAUAAUAAAAUAGGGCGUGCGUUUCUAUUUUGUUGGUUUCUAGAGACGCCGCAAUGAUUAACAGGAACAGUCGGGGGCAUCAGUAUUCAGUUGUCAGAGGUGAAAUUCUUGGAUUUACUGAAGACUAACUACUGCGAAAGCAUUUGCCAUGGAUGUUUNCAUUA
rnacentral:rRNA from 1 species